GUUUCUUGAACAGAGAUGCCACCAGAACUGUGAAAAACCCUCAAGGAAUGGAAAGAGCCCUGUCGUGGAGGCAAACAGGUGAGAUGGUCUGAGGCCUAACCAGAAGGCUGCUGUUGUAAGAAGGAUUUAAGGAGUUCAAGCCACCUUCUGUGCCCACGAAAGCUCUGUUUUUGAACGCUGAAGUUCUUGUGUAGCUACCCCUUUGGGAAGUGGAAGC